UGCAGUGGGGAAUAUUGCGCAAUGGGCGAAAGCCUGACGCAGCGACGCCGCGUGAGGGAUGACGGCCUUCGGGUUGUAAACCUCUUUCAGCAGGGACGAAGCGCAAGUGACGGUACCUGCAGAAGAAGCACCGGCCAACUACGUGCCAGCAGCCGCGGUAAUACGUAGGGUGCAAGCGUUGUCCGGAAUUAUUGGGCGUAAAGAGCUCGUAGGCGGUUUGUCGCGUCGGCUGUGAAAACUCGGGGCUCAACCCCGAGCCUGCAGUCGAUACGGGCAGACUAGAGUGCUGUAGGGGAGACUGGAAUUCCUGGUGUAGCGGUGAAAUGCGCAGAUAUCA
rnacentral:rRNA from 1 species